UAAGACGAUGUCGAUUUGGAGGUUGUGCCCUUGAGGCGUGGCUUCCGGAGCUAACGCGUUAAAUCGACCGCCUGGGGAGUACGGCCGCAAGGUUAAAACUCAAAUGAAUUGACGGGGGCCCGCACAAGCGGUGGAGCAUGUGGUUUAAUUCGAUGCAACGCGAAGAACCUUACCUGGUCUUGACAUCCACAGAACUUUCCAGAGAUGGAUUGGUGCCUUCGGGAACUGUGAGACAGGUGCUGCAUGGCUGUCGUCAGCUCGUGUUGUGAAAUGUUGGGUUAAGUCCCGCAACGAGCGCAACCCUUAUCCUUUGUUGCCAGCGGUUAGGCCGGGAACUCAAAGGAGACUGCCAGUGAUAAACUGGAGGAAGGUGGGGAUGACGUCAAGUCAUCAUGGCCCUUACGACCAGGGCUACACACGUGCUACAAUGGCAUAUACAAAGAGAAGCGACCUCGCGAGAGCAAGCGGACCUCAUAAAGUAUGUCGUAGUCCGGAUUGGAGUCUGCAACUCGACUCCAUGAAGUCGGAAUCGCUAGUAAUCGUAGAUCAGAAUGCUACGGUGAAUACGUUCCCGGGCCUUGUACACACCGCCCGUCACACCAUGGGAGUGGGUUGCAAAAGAAGUAGGUAGCUUAACCUUCGGGAGGGCGCUUACCACUUUGUGAUUCAUGACUGGGGUGAAGUCUAAAAGGGGGAA
rnacentral:rRNA from 1 species